rnacentral:rRNA from 1 species
UACAGGGGGUGCAAACGUUGCUCGGAAUCAUUGGGCGUAAAGCGCACGUAGGCGGUUCGUUAUGUCGGAUGUGAAAGCCCUUGGCUUAACCGAGGAAGUGCAUCCGAAACUGGCGAGCUAGAGUACUAAAGAGGAUCGCGGAAUUCCCGGUGUAGGGGUGAAAUUCGUAGAUAUCGGGAGGAACACCGGUGGCGAAGGCGGCGAUCUGGGUAGAUACUGACGCUGAGGUGCGAAAGCGUGGGGAGCAAACAGG